rnacentral:rRNA from 1 species
UUGGAGGGCAAGUCUGGUGCCAGCAGCCGCGGUAAUUCCAGCUCCAAUAGCGUAUAUUAAAGUUGUUGCAGUUAAAAAGCUCGUAGUUGAAUUUCGGGGUUCUACCGUUGGUCGGGCUUUGUCUGUACUGGUGUGUAGAAUUUCUACCUUCUGGGGAACCAUCAUGCUAUUAAUUUAGCGUGGUGGGAAACCAGGACCUUUACCUUGAAAAAAUUAGUGUGUUCAAAGCAGGCUUAUGUCUGAAUACAUUAGCGUGGAAUAAUAGAAUAGGACGGUGGUCCUGUUUUGUUGGUUUCUGAAUCACCGUAAUGAUUAAUAGGGAUAGUUGGGGGCAUUAGUAUUCAAUUGUCAGAGGUGAGAUUCUUGGAUUUAUUGAAGACUAACUUCUGCGAAAGCAUUUGCCAAGGAUGUUUUCAUUAAUCAAGAACGAAAGUUAGGGGAUCGAAGACGAUCAGAUACCGUCGUAGUCUUAACCAUAAACUAUGCCGACUAGGGAUCGGACGAUGUUAAUUUUUCUUGACUCGUUCGGCGCCUUACGGGAAAC